GAGUAUGUAGCUCAGUCGGUAGAGCAUUGGACUUUUAAUCCACUGGUCCUGGGUUCAAACCCCAGUGUACUCA
rnacentral:tRNA from 1 species